GUGGGUAUAGCUCAGCGGUAGUGCAUGUGCUUAGUAUGCAUGAGGUCCUGGGUUCAACCCCCAGCACCUCUA
rnacentral:tRNA from 1 species